rnacentral:lncRNA from 1 species
GGUGAGCAUAGCAUGACGUAGAGAGUUGUGGACUCACUAUGCUGUACAUCUGAAACUAAUGGAACGUGGUGUGUCAACUACACUUCAAAAAAAGUAGGAAAAAAAGAAAGUGCUCACCAUCUAUGUGCACCAAGAACCCAGGUCUUUCAGUGGAGCCUUGAGAAGGUGGCAGGGGAUGAACUCGGCAAGCAGGGCUACGUCAUCGCUGAUUCUGAUCCAUAUGCUGUGGGUUGUGAGCUGCAGGUCACAAGGAACGAUAUUACUGAUUUGUUUAUUUCAGAGCGAGAACACGGUGAUCUUGUUUCUGCCAUCUCUUGGACUCUUCUCUCUGGAAAAUCCCGGGUGUCCUUCAAAAUUCUGUUCAAGAAUGUCCUGUCUGGGAAGUCUUCCUGACUCACCCUGAGUGGAGCUAAUCUCUCCACCCUCCUAGACUUGCUGUACUAGUUAAAUACACAUAUUAUUGCCCUGGGUUUUGAUGAUUAAUUCUGAAUGGUUCUGGCUGAAAUCUCUGUUUUCCAGGGUUGAUUAGACAGAGACAGCUGGAUAUUUAGAAUAUUCUAAACCUGUCUGCUGGGGAUGAUCUCUGAUUUGCAUGAGCUGCCCUCUGAGCUCGGGAGUGAGAAGACCUGGGUGUGGCAUAUGUCUCCCCAAGAUCCCUCUGCAGCCCCAGAGUCUUCACGUAUGAAUUGAAGCAGAUGGAGGCUAUAAGAAGAGGUCUCUGGUCAGAGAUAUGAUUGAGGAGCAAGAGAAGAUUCAAGAAGCCAAUCCGGUGACAUUUCAAGUUUGUUUUUUCUCCUAUGUAAUAUGUUUAAUAUUUCUUACUAUCACAUAAGCCAGGCAUCUUCAGAUGGCAGUGUAGUGUAAGUACCACACAUAGACUCAGUAAAGGGCAUCAGGGAGUGGCACCCACACGUCUGACUGCUGUAGCCAGAACCACAAGGAGCACAAACUGUAAAUCCCGAGGCUCCAAGCUAAAUAUGUUUCGAGGCCCCUUUGUCCCCAGUGGUGGCUCCAGGACAUUCUCCUCAUGUCAUCUCUGCUCUUUCCAUGGGCCAGGCUGCCGGCCAGCUUGGACCUGCCAUUGCCAAGAUGAGAUCAAGGUCACUUAGGUUCACAAAAAGCGAUCCAUCUGACAAGUCUGGAGAACUGAAGGAAAACCCUCAUCGUCUUUGUUUACCCUGGUGAUUGUCACACGCUCUCGUUUUGUUUGGUUUUAACAUGAUUCACAAGUUGAUCGGUGGCCUGAGUGAGGCAACACUUGCCCAAAGUAUUGAUUCUAAUCACACGGCUUGGCCGGUUCUGAGGGGUGAAGCCGCGGACUGCGCACCGCGCAUUUACCUGCAGAAAGUGAACGGGGCUCCCAAGGCCCCCCGGAUCUACACUGACGCGGAGUGAAGCUCCUG